rnacentral:rRNA from 1 species
GAUGAACGCUGGCGGCGUGCCUAAUACAUGCAAGUCGAGCGAAUGGAUUAAGAGCUUGCUCUUAUGAAGUUAGCGGCGGACGGGUGAGUAACACGUGGGUAACCUGCCCAUAAGACUGGGAUAACUCCGGGAAACCGGGGCUAAUACCGGAUAACAUUUUGAACCGCAUGGUUCGAAAUUGAAAGGCGGCUUCGGCUGUCACUUAUGGAUGGACCCGCGUCGCAUUAGCUAGUUGGUGAGGUAACGGCUCACCAAGGCAACGAUGCGUAGCCGGCCCGGAAGGGGGAUCGGCCACACUGGGACUGAGAAACGGCCCAGACUCCUACCGGAGGCAGCAGUAGGGAAUCUUCCACAAUGGACGAAAGUCUGACGGAGCAACGCCGCGUGAGUGAUGAAGGCUUUCGGGUCGUAAAACUCUGUUGUUAGGGAAGAACAAGUGCUAGUUGAAUAAGCUGGCACCUUGACGGUACCUAACCAGAAAGCCACGGCUAACUACGUGCCAGCAGCCGCGGUAA